GAUAAAAAUGAUGAUAAAAAUGAUGGGACGACGACGACGACAAAAACGAUCGCAAAAGAUGUUUCUUCUUCUUCUUUUGUUGUCGUGUGCUGUUUUUCUUCUUCUUCUUCUU
rnacentral:ribozyme from 1 species